UGAUGAAGAAGCAGGAACAGCACUGCUGUGAAGAGCUGCUUGUGAGAAAACCACCCAGAAGCUCUUUAUGUGCCUUUCAGCAAACAGCUAAAUAACACCCAGUCUAUCCUAGGAGAAAAAUCUAACUUUGGAUUUGACGAGUUUGAAGCCCUGUCCUGUAUCCAGCACUGUGGGAAGAAACCAACUCAUUUUCAAUCUUUUUAAGCACCUAAAGCAAGCUUUACAGACCCAGAACAGAUUGAGCCCACAAAACCAGUUUGCCAA